rnacentral:rRNA from 1 species
UACAGAGGGUGCGAGCGUUAAUCGGAAUUACUGGGCGUAAAGCGUGCGUAGACGGUUAUUUAAGUCGGGUGUGAAAGCCCCGGGCUCAACCUGGGAAUUGCAUUCGAGACUGAAUAGCUAGGGUACGGUAGAGGGAAGUGGAAUUUCCGGUGUAGCGGUGAAAUGCGUAGAUAUCGGAAGGAACAUCAGUGGCGAAGGCGGCGCCCGUGGCUCGCAACUGACGCUCAGACACGACAGCAUGGGGAGCGAACGGGG